CUGGCGGCGUGCCUAAUACAUGCAAGUCGAACGGUCUUUCUAUGGAAGCUUGCUUCCACUGAGAAGAUAGUGGCGGACGGGUGAGUAACACGUGGGUAACCUGCCCAUAAGAGGGGGAUAACAUCCGGAAACGGGUGCUAAUACCGCAUAGUUUUCUUGAUCGCAUGAUUGAGAAAGGAAAGACGGCCUUUGUGCUGUCGCUUAUGGAUGGACCCGCGGCGUAUUAGUUAGUUGGUGAGGUAAUGGCUCACCAAGACGAUGAUACGUAGCCGACCUGAGAGGGUGAUCGGCCACAUUGGGACUGAGACACGGCCCAAACUCCUACGGGAGGCAGCAGUAGGGAAUCUUCCGCAAUGGACGAAAGUCUGACGGAGCAACGCCGCGUGAGUGAAAGAAGGUUUUCGGAUCGUAAAACUCCGUUGUCAGAGAAGAACAAGUUGGAGAGUAACUGCUCCAGCCUUGACGGUAUCUGACCAGAAAGCCACGGCUAACUACGUGCCAGCCGCUGC
rnacentral:rRNA from 1 species